rnacentral:rRNA from 1 species
GAUGAACGCUGGCGUCGUGCCUAAUACAUGCAAGUCGAGCGAACGGACGAGAAGCUUGCUUUUCUGAUGUUAGCGGCGGACGGGUGAGUAACACGUGGAUAACCUACCUAUAAGACUGGGAUAACUUCGGGAAACCGGAGCUAAUACCGGAUAAUAUUUUGAACCGCAUGGUUCAAAAGUGAGAGACGGUCUUGCUGUCACUUAUAGAUGGAUCCGCGCUGCAUUAGCUAGUUGGUAAGGUAACGGCUUACCAAGGCAACGAUGCAUAGCCGACCGGAGAGGGUGAUCGGCCACACUGGAACUGAGACACGGUCCAGACUCCUACGGGAGGCAGCAGUAGGGAAUCUUCCGCAAUGGGCGCAAGCCUGACGGAGCAACGCCGCGUGAGUGAUGAAGGUCUUCGGAUCGUAAAACUCUGUUAUUAGGGAAGAACAUAUGUGUAAGUAACUGUGCACAUCUUGACGGUACCUAAACAGAAAGCCACGGCUAACUACGUG